GACCUGGAGAGCGCAGCAGGCGCCAUGGCCGACGCAACCCGCAGCGGCGAGAAGCUGCCCUUCGCUCUGACCCUGUGCGGCGUCCUCGAGGCCGCGGCCGCGCUGUGGCUGGUACUCUACAGGAAGCCCGGGGGCGUGCUCGCGGACCAUGGGAAGGCCGUCUUCUGCUCCUACUACGUCGUUCUAGCCGCCGCGGUCGUCUUCGGGCUCGCUGAGGCGUUCGUGGGGCUGUGGGUGAGCUGCCGUCCGUGCAACCGGCGGCCGCUCGCCGUUGGGAAGGUCUUCUUGUGGGUCUCCAUUUUUCCUGUCGUCCUCGUCGCUGGCCUCGGUGGGAUGGGCUUUGCCGUCCCGAAGUAG
rnacentral:rRNA from 1 species